rnacentral:rRNA from 1 species
UGGGGAAUAUUGCACAAUGGGCGAAAGCCUGAUGCAGCAACGCCGCGUGAGCGAUGAAGGCCUUGGGUCGUAAAGCUCUGUCCUCAAGGAGAUAAUGACGGUACUUGAGGAGGAAGCCCCGGCUAACUACGUGCCAGCAGCCG